rnacentral:rRNA from 1 species
UACAGAGGGGGCAAGCGUUGUUCGGAAUUACUGGGCGUAAAGGGCGCGUAGGCGGCCUUCUAAGUCGAACGUGAAAUCCCCGGGCUCAACCCGGGAACUGCGUCCGAUACUGGAAGGCUUGAAUCCGGGAGAGGGAUGUGGAAUUCCAGGUGUAGCGGUGAAAUGCGUAGAUAUCUGGAGGAACACCGGUGGCGAAGGCGACAUCCUGGACCGGUAGUGACGCUGAGGCGCGAAAGCCAGGGGAGCAAACGAG